rnacentral:lncRNA from 1 species
AUCCAGAUGCCUUCCCAUUGGCCAUGCUACUCAGCUUUCUGCUGCCUCUACUUCCUGGGGCUGGCCUAGCCUGGUGCUACUACCAGCUCCCAACACUCUGUCAGCAACCAGGACGGUGCUGCAGGAGGGACGCCCUAUGUAAUAGGGACCAACCUCUGGGCAGUGUUCACCCUGUGGAGUUUGGCUCCAUCAUCACUGGAGAGCCCUCGCCCCCGAACCCUGAGGAGUCUGAGCUUACCUAGGAGCUGCCUGCCCUCUGAGGCUUGUGCCGUGCAGACCUGCCCGAUCCCUACGCCUCUGGGCCCAGUCCUCAGUGACUCAGUGCACUCUCAUACUUCCGAUGGCCGGAUGCUGAGCUCCCUACUCACCACAGGAACCCAGAGCCAUCUCAUGAUGUAUCCCACCUGCCGGGAGAGCCGUGCUAUUCUGAAAUGUCACAAUGUAUCUAGUAACAGUAAAUCCACAAGCUCU